AGGACGAACGCUGGCGGCGCGCCUAACACAUGCAAGUCGAGCGAUAACCAGGGCUUGCCCUGGGGACAGCGGCGAACGGGUGCGUAACACGUGAGCAACCUGCCCCAAAGACCGGGACAACCCGAGGAAACUCGGACUAAUACCGGAUGCCCUCACCGGGUCGCAUGGUCUGGUGAGGAAAUGGAUUCCGCUUUGGGAUGGGCUCGCGGUCUAUCAGCUUGUUGGUGGGGUAACGGCCUACCAAGGCGACGACGGAUAGCUGGUCUGAGAGGACGAUCAGCCACACUGGGACUGAGACACGGCCCAGACUCCUACGGGAGGCAGCAGUGGGGAAUCUUGCGCAAUGGGGGAAACCCUGACGCAGCGACGCCGCGUGCGGGAUGAAGGCCUUGGGUUGUAACCGCUUUCAGCAGGGACGAAAUUGACGGUACCUGCAGAAGAAGGCCCGGCCAACUACGUGCCAGCAGCCGCGGU
rnacentral:rRNA from 1 species